UCAAAUUCUCUCUUUAAAUUUCAUCUUUAUGUGUUUUUGUGCUAUACACCAAACACAAUUUUUGUCGCUUUAAAUUUAAUGGAAAAAUGAAUUCAAAGGUCAUUUCUUGCAGACAAGUUGAAAAUUUCUUGAGUGAAGAUUUCCUUCUUUGGAAAUGUACCCUUCAUACCUUCAGACAGUAAAUCUANGAUAGAACACUGACAGACAAAAAUGAUUAUUAUACCUUCAGGGAUGGUUGUACAAAUUUCAUAUCUCUAUAGAAAAGAAAGCAUGAAACUAGCCAAUGGCUUAAAAUUGAAGCUACCGAAGUCACACCCAAUCGUGUUGACACCUAUGCAAUUGAUGCUUUUGGUAUAUAUAUUACACUGUUAUUCCAUUUUUCACCAUUAAAUUGACUUUGUGUAUAGAUCUACUACACUUUUAAUUAUAAUGAAGUCACACUUCUA